rnacentral:piRNA from 1 species
UUCCCACAGAAAUCUCAACUAAGAUAGUAC